rnacentral:rRNA from 1 species
UGGCGACCGGCGCACGGGUGAGUAACACGUAUCCAACCUGCCGAUAACUCGGGGAUAGCCUUUCGAAAGAAAGAUUAAUAUCCGAUAGGAUAUCAAGAUCGCAUGAUCUUGAUAUUAAAGAAUUUCGGUUAUCGAUGGGGAUGCGUUCCAUUAGUUAGUUGGCGGGGUAACGGCCCACCAAGACGACGAUGGAUAGGGGUUCUGAGAGGAAGGUCCCCCACAUUGGAACUGAGACACGGUCCAAACUCCUACGGAAGGCAGCAG